rnacentral:lncRNA from 1 species
AAGGGGAAAGCUAUUGAUUAAAACAAAAACUAUUUUGAGUUUUUGUUAUUAUGAGUUGAGCUCCUUAAUGAAGUUUUUCUAUUAUGGCUAUAUUGGCUGCACCCUAAAUGGGGUGUCCUGGGUGAACCAAAUGCUGGUGUAGGGAAAGGAAUGGGAAUGUUGAGGGGAUGGGAAGAGGCAUCAAGAACAGGAAUAUAAUUUUCCUACAGUGCUGUUCUGCUGAGACUACAGAGUACCUCAGGGAGUCAUGCAUCCUCUUCCUGUUGCUUUACUGAAUCUUAAAGAGUGAUACAGUACUAAUGAUGCCAUUCUAGCAACUGGAGCAGCUUCAGGGGAGAGAGCACAUUAAGGGUGCUGGGAUGGUAAUGGUUGGGAGGAAGCUGAAUGGUAGUAAGAGAGACAUUCUGUCCUGAGAACUCUGAUCCACUUGAUGCAGAUGAGCAGGUAACCAUGGAAGUCGUGAGCUGAGGCUGCAGAGUCUAGAGCCAGAGUGUGGAAUAAACUUGGGUCUCAAAUCACCCCUGGAGCAAAGCACCCAUCUAAUCAGGAACUUCUACUUUCAACUUUACAUGCGUGAGAAAUGAACUUCUAUCAUGUUAGAGAAAUCCUUACACGGCGCCCUUGAGAGCUUUCAUACUGCAAGUCAUCCAUUUUCCUCCCCUCAAACCUGGCAUCGGAGUUUAUUGAAACAAAGCAAAAUAAAACAAAUAGACAAAGCUCUACCUCCAUCACUUCUGCAGUCUACAUUAACCCCACGUCCAGAAUAUUCACACCUCAGGUCUUUUUCUCACAAUUGAAACACUGGUUCAGAGCCUAACGGAAGGUCUUGGAGGUAAAAACACAACUUGGGGCAACUUUUCCAUUCUGUUCUGCAUGACCCCAAUGGGACUUCUCAGAAACCCCUCUCAUGAAUUAAACUUUGUUCUGUCUAGAGCAUUAGAAUAAGCUUAUGGGCACCUGCCAGGAGAUUAUAAAGUGGGCCAUUUAAAAGAUGACAGAUAUUGAGCACCCUUGACCCUGUAGAAAGAGUGUACCUACUUGCUUUCCCUAGGGCCCUUAAUGGUUUAUAAAA